AUCAUACUCUCUCCGUUCGAAAAUACUUGUCAUCAAAAUGAACAAAAAAGAUGUAUCUAAAACUAAAAUACAUCUAGAUACAUCCUUUUCUAUUUAUUUUGAUGAUAAGUAUUUCCGAACGGUGGGAGUACCAA
rfam:Triticum aestivum genome assembly, contig: Triticum_aestivum_CS42_TGACv1_scaffold_131633_2BL